GGGUUUUGGGUUUAGGUUGCUUGUCUCAUACUGGUGCUGGAAAUGUGGUAUAACUAGUGAGAUUACGCGGAAAGGAAUUAGCAUCCCAGAAAGUGAAGCUGCAAAGGUAAAAGUGAAGCCACUGAGAGUGAUAAGCCAAUAAAAUAUUGUUCGAGUCCAAACAAAGAUUCCCACUACGAACGACUUUCUUUGUUUGGUCUGCGUUCUCAGCCUCAGGUCUUAUCCAUAAAAUCAUCAUCUCUCUGCGACUUCGGUGUUUGGUGUGUCAGCUGAUUCUUGCAAGGUGUUUUAUCAAGCUGAUUCUUGCAAAUCUUAUCCCCUCAAUUGGGCACUCUCAAAUUUCGAUCUUGCAUUGAGGAUUUUUGUUUUGGAUAGAAAAAAAAAGUGAAAAUCUUCAUUUGUGCAGUAACUAUGAGCAGCUGAAUCUUAGUCAACACCGAGAUAUGGAGGUUGUUUUAGAGAAAAAAGACGCUGCUGAUUGGGUUUACAGAGGCGAAGGCGCUGCCAAUCUUGUUCUCGGUUACAGCGGAUCCGCCCCCGCUUUUAUUGGGAAAGUAAUGCGUCUACAGAAAGCUCCGAUUAAUGGGUCAAAGUCCAUGAACAGUCCCACUGCAUUAACCAUGCAUGAACGUCUUCUGUGGAAGGACACGGAGGACAUUGUAGCUACCUCUAACAAAGAACUUGCUUGCCAACUGUUUGUGAAGCACAUCAUGAGCCCUCUAUUGGGUUCCACGCACGUUGAUUCUGGGAUACGUGUCCCUGCUUCCAAAGAAUUCUUGGAGUCGGUUGUGAAGAACAUAAUUUGUCAGCGUCCUGCUUCUCGAGUUGACGCUGCCAAAGUUGACACACAAUGUGAUUCUGUGCUUCUCAUGUCUGAUCAUUCUCUUUUUCCUCGUGGUACUCAAGAAGUUGAACCCUGUAUAUCUGUGGAGAUAAAGCCAAAAUGUGGAUUUCUGCCAUCUUCAAAGUUCAUUGAUGAAGGAAAUGCCAUUAAACGGAGCAUUACUCGUUUUCGGAUGCACCAAGCUCUGAAGUUGCAUCAAGGAGAGGUAUCAGAAUAUAGUGAAUAUAAUCCACUUGAUCUGUUCUCUGGAUCCAAGGAAAGAAUACAUAAAGCUAUCAGGGAUCUCUUCUCAACCCCGCAGAAUAACUUCCGUGUAUUCUUGAAUGGUUCUCAAAUAUUUGGGGGCUUAGGCGGUGGUGCAGACAGUACUGAUUUUGUGACUCGGGGAAAAUUUGAAGAUGCACUCAAGUGUGUUAUUCAGGGAGGUGAUGGCUUGCGCACAAUGAGUUUUUUACUGCUUGUUGCUGAGACAGUUCAUAAAUCUGGAGUGUUGGAUCGGCUCCUUGAGGUCCAGAAACUUGAUAAUCUUGACAUUGAUGGGGCUAUCCAUGCGUAUUAUGACAUUGUUUCGGAGCCUUGCAGGGUAUGUAGAGCAUCCGGUAAAGAAAAAAUGUCACAGAGAUAUCUUUCAUUGCAUUCCAUCUCUUUGGAUGAAAGCUUGAAGAUUGUGAAGGAUUUUUUGAUAGCUGCUACUGCAAAGGACUGCAGUUUGAUGAUUAGUUUUAGACCAAGGAAAGAUGGGAAUCCAGGAUCUCCAUAUAAUAAUUUGUAUCUAGAUUCAACCAACCAAUUUUUUGAUUACAAGGUGAAUUUCAUUGACCUGGAUUUGAAACAGUUGAAGAAAAUGGAAGAAUAUUAUGAGUUGGACAAAAAAAUAGUAAGCUACUACAAUCAAAUGGUGGAAACUGAGGAAAGACAAAAGAAAAAUACAAGCACAAUGGCUCUUAAAACUGCAAAUUGAGAUUUAUUGCUGUGCCAUGGAAGAUACUUUACUUCAAAUUAUGAGUGUUAAGACUAAUAUGGAAGGUUCUGUGAACUCUGGUUGUUCGGCUUUGAUAUUUUCAUCAGCAUAUAUGUGGAAUAUAAAGGCCGUGGGUUGGCUACAUCAUGUGCUGAACAAUGAGCUCCUGAGCUGUCUAUAGUAAACUAUAGUGUCAGUGGACCUGCUAUGUUCCAAGUGCAGGAAGAAGUUGAUGAAGUUAAUAGCAACUGUAGAAGGGAUAACUUCAAUUGUCCUCGACCCAUCAAAAAAUAUAGUGACAGUAACUGGGGAUGCCGAUCCAGUAAAGGUUAUCAAGAAGGUGAGAAAAUUCAGAAAAUCUGCUUCAGUUGUGAGUAUAGGUCCUCCACCUCCGCAGAGUGAGAAGAAGGAUGAGAAGAAAGACCUUGUUCCUUUUAACUCCAAAGACAUGUCAGAGAUGGUACGAUGUCUGGUAUGCGGUUGUUAAAGAUGGUUACAAUUAUUGUUCCAUAAUGUAUCAUCCUGAAACUUGUAUGAAUAAUACCCAGUUGUAUUU